CCUUAGAAUUGUAACAAGAUAUCUAUUAUUUUUGUCACCAGAGAUCCAGAAAAAGAGGAGAAUGGAGAUGGGACAGUGGUAAAAAGUGAGGCAAAAGCUGAUAAAACUGAAAGGAGAAGAAGACUGACAUAAAAUUAUAAUUAGAGACUUCAACAGCCCUCUCUCAACAAUUGAUAGAACAACUAGAUGGAAAAUCAGAAAGGAUAUUGAAGAACUGAAAGAAAUAAAGGGCAUGCAGAUGAAAUGAUUUCCUGUGAGACAAUCCCAAGGAGUCUAUAAAAGAACAUACUAGAGCUAGUAAAUGAGUUCAGUGAAUUUAGGAUAUAAGACAAACAUUAAAAAACAAGUUUUUCAAACACUUAGCAAGAUCGGUAUAGAAGGGACAUACCUUAAGGUAAUAAAUGCUAUCUAUGGCAAACCCACAGCCAACAUUACUGUCAGGUAGUUCUGAGGUCAAAAACAAAAAGGUAAGAGACAGAUGGUUUAUACUUCUGUUGCCUAUAUGAACAAGUACAUUUUCUUCAACAAG
rnacentral:lncRNA from 10 species